rnacentral:pre_miRNA from 1 species
GCAGCCGUCAAAGGGGCUGUGAAAUGUCUCUUAUGGCUAAGCAUAUCACAGCCACCUUUGAUGAGCUGUG